GUGAUGACUGGGUGACCUCGCCCGAGUGGUGGGGAAUUUGCCGAGUGCUGA
rnacentral:snoRNA from 1 species